rnacentral:rRNA from 1 species
GACGAACGCUGGCGGCGUGCUUAACACAUGCAAGUCGAACGGAAAGGCCCUGCUUUUGUGGGGUGCUCGAGUGGCGAACGGGUGAGUAACACGUGAGUAACCUGCCCUUGACUUUGGGAUAACUUCAGGAAACUGGGGCUAAUAUCGGAUAGGAGCUCCUGCUGCACGGUGGGGGUUGGAAAGUUUCGGCGGUUGGGGAUGGACUCGCGGCUUAUCAGCUUGUUGGUGGGGUAGUGGCUUACCAAGGCUUUGACGGGUAGCCGGCCUGAGAGGGUGACCGGCCACAUUGGGACUGAGAUACGGCCCAGACUCCUACGGGAGGCAGCAGUGGGGAAUAUUGCACAAUGGGCGGAAGCCUGAUGCAGCAACGCCGCGUGCGGGAUGACGGCCUUCGGGUUGUAAACCUCUUUCGCCUGUGACGAAGCGUGAGUGACGGUAAUGGGUAAAGAAGCACCGGCUAACUACGUG